rnacentral:misc_RNA from 1 species
UGUGGGAGCGAGCUUGCUCGCGAUGGCGGUGUGUCAGUCACAUCUGUGUCGGAUGUGCUGCCGUCAUCGCGAGCAAGCUCGCUCCCACA